rnacentral:rRNA from 1 species
AGACAGAGGGUGCAAACGUUGCUCGGAAUUACUGGGCGUAAAGCGCGUGUAGGCUGACUCGCAAGUCGGGUGUGAAAUCCCUGGGCUCAACCUAGGAACUGCAUCCGAAACUGCGUGUCUUGAGUGUCGGAGAGGGAAGCGGAAUUCCUGGUGUAGAGGUGAAAUUCGUAGAUAUCAGGAGGAACACCGGUGGCGAAGGCGGCUUCCUGGACGACUACUGACGCUGAGACGCGAAAGCGUGGGGAGCAAACAGGAUUAGAAACCCCAGUAGUCC